rnacentral:rRNA from 1 species
AGCAGCCGCGGUAAUUCCAGCUCCAAUAGCGUAUAUUAAAGUUGUUGCAGUUAAAAAGCUCGUAGUUGAAUUUCGGGAUCAAUAUAUCGGUCGUGCCAUUGGUACGUACUGGUAUCAUUGGUUUCUCCUUUCUGACGAACCAUGAUGUCAUUAAUUUGGUGUUAUGGGAAGUUAGGACUGUUACUUUGAAAAAAUUAGAGUGUUUAAAGCAGGCUUUAGCUUGAAUACAUUAGCAUGGAAUAAUGAAAUAGGACGUUCGAACCUAUUUUGUUGGUUUCUAGGAUCAACGUAAUGAUUAAUAGGGAUAGUUGGGGGCAUUAGUAUUCAAUUGUCAGAGGUGAAAUUCUUGGAUUUAUUGAAGACUAACUACUGCGAAAGCAUUUGACCAAGGUAUGUUUCAUUAAUACAAGAACGAAAGUUAGGGAU